AUUUGUUUUAUUUUAUAAUGGUUUUAAUUUAUAUAAAUUUCAAUUUAUUUUUUUUUUUUAAUCUGUCCUAUAAGACGACCCCAGAUUUUGGGGGUCUUUUUUUAUGAUUCAACUAUUGUCUUAUCUGCACAGAUAUACAGUAACUACUAGACCCCAAAUAAAAGUUAACGUAGAAACUAGUGCCACCAUCACGGACUAAGGCAAAAUGUGCAUAUGCUAUGGACAAUGUUGCGUGCUGUCUUAUAGUAUCUAUUUCUGGUAUAAUAGUUAUUUAUUUAGACUCGUGUGUGCAGAAUUAUCACAGGAGCAUAACAGGAAUGCCACUGAGUUGCUGUGCAGUUAAUUGUAGAGCAAGAUAUAAAAAAGAAUCUGGUAUUACAUUUCAUCGGUUUCCUAAAAACAAGCAAUACUUUGGUCAAACGUUGACAGCAAUAUGACAUGACAAAUGGAAUCCAAGCAAUAAUAGUGUUCUUUGUAGUCAGCACGUUGAGCCUAAUUGUUUCUACAGACAGAACAGAUAUACCUAUUUGCGUAAAACCUACAAAAUUUGAUUUUUCUCAACCUCUAUGGAGACAGCCAGUAGUGCCACAAAGUAAAGUGAACAUUUUUGGCUAACAUAGAUGAUGAUAUCUAUGAUGAUCAAAGUGUGCAGCAGCAGCAGCAAGAUAAAGCUCAAAUAUCUGACCCAACAUAUCAGAUCAUCAAUACUGUGUACCUAGUCCUAAAAAGUCAAUAUGGAAAAUGGCAGACUAUAGGGAAAAGUGUACUGCUCUGCAGUGCAAAUUGAGAAAUUGUCAACAACUUUGAGCAUAGAACAAGAUUAUCAACUUUGAAAGACUAACGGAAGAACUGAAAAUGGAAAUUGAGAUGUACUGAAUUGAAGAAGUGCUCAGACAUCUGUGUGAAGGAAGUUUGAAAAGACAAAACAAUCUUCUGCUUUAUUUGCAGGUUGAAAUAUUAAUUCUGGUAAAGAAACUGCAUCUCUCUCACCAAGAUGAUCAUCUUUUCAAAAGUGCUGAG